UUGACCUCAAAUCAGGUAGGACUACCCCCUGAACUUAA
rnacentral:rRNA from 1 species